CUGCUUCUACUUUCUGUAUGGAGCUGGGAGCGUCUGCCUGUUGGACGCCCGAAGAGCGUCAGGUUUGAUCCUUGGUAUGCAGAUGAACAUGACGAAUUACGGCGCCCCACGUGGGCUUACAAGUGGGAUAUCGUUUCUGAGAUGACGAACGAUGUCAAUCUCAUGUACCAAAAGUACAUUGCCGAGUUGGACACGAUUACGCCUGAGCAGGUAAGGAGGUCAUUACUUUAG
rnacentral:rRNA from 1 species